rnacentral:rRNA from 1 species
GACGAACGCUGGCGGCGUGCCUAAUACAUGCAAGUAGAACGCUGAAGAGAGGAGCUUGCUCUUCUUGGGUGAGUUGCGAACGGGUGAGUAACGCGUAGGUAACCUGCCUUGUAGCGGGGGAUAACUAUUGGAAACGAUAGCUAAUACCGCAUAACAAUGGAUGACACAUGUCAUUUAUUUGAAAGGGGCAAUUGCUCCACUACAAGAUGGACCUGCGUUGUAUUAGCUAGUAGGUGAGGUAAUGGCUCACCUAGGCGACGAUACAUAGCCGACCUGAGAGGGUGAGCGGCCACACUGGGAGUGAGACACGGCCCAGACUCCUACGGGAGGCAGCAGUAGGGAAUCGUCGGCAAUGGGGGCAACCCUGACCGAGCAACGCCGCGUGAGUGAAGAAGGUUGUCGGAUCGUAAAGCUCUGUUGUAAGUCAAGAACGGGUGUGAGAGUGGAAAGUUCACACUGUGACGGUAGCUUAUCAGAAAGCGACGGCUAACUACGUG